UACAGAGGUCUCGAGCGUUAGGCGGAAUCACUGGGCGUAAAGGGUGUGUAGGCGGCUUUGCAAGUCGGGUGUGAAAGCCCUCGGCUCAACCGAGGAAGUGCGCCCGAAACUGCAGAGCUUGAGUACCGGAGAGGGUGGCGGAAUUCCCCAAGUAGAGGUGAAAUUCGUAGAUAUGGGGAGGAACACCGGUUGCGAAGGCGGCCCCCUGGACGGAUACUGACGCUGAGACGCGAAAGCGUGGGGAGCAAACAGG
rnacentral:rRNA from 1 species